GAUGAACGCUGGCGGCGUGCCUAAUACAUGCAAGUCGAGCGAACAGAUGAGGAACUUGCUCCUCUGACGUUAGCGGCGGACGGGUGAGUAACACGUGGAUAACCUACCUAUAAGACUGGGAUAACUUCGGGAAACCGGAGCUAAUACCGGAUAAUAUAUUGAACCGCAUGGUUCAAUAGUGAAAGACGGUAUUGCUGUAACUUAUAGAUGGAUCCGCGCCGCAUUAGCUAGUUGGUAAGGUAACGGCUUACAAAGGCAACGAUGCGUAGCCGACCUGAGAGGGUGAUCGGCCACAUUGGAACUGAGACACGGUCCAGACUCCUACGGGAGGCAGCAGUAGGGAAUCUUCCGCAAUGGGCGAAAGCCUGACGGAGCAACGCCGCGGGAGUGAUGAAGGUCUUCGGAUCGUAAAACUCUGUUAUUAGGGAAGAACAAAUGUGUAAGUAACUAUGCACGUCUUGACGGUACCUAAUCAGAAAGCCACGGCUAACUACGUG
rnacentral:rRNA from 1 species